rnacentral:tRNA from 1 species
GCCUGAGUGGCUCAGUCGGUUGGGCAUCCAACUUUGGCUCAGGUCAUGAUCUCACGGUCCGUGGGUUCGAGCCCUGCCUCGGGCU